rnacentral:tRNA from 13 species
UGUUCGCCGGGAUUUGAACCCGGAACCUCUCCCACCCUAAGCGAGAAACAUACUCCUAGACCACCGAAC